CCAGUUGGCUGGGCAGCCGCGCUUUACCAAUGCCGAAAGGCGGUAGGGUGAGGAAAGUCCGGGCUCCACGGAAGUACGGUGCCGGAUAACGUCCGGCGAGGGCGACCUCAGGGAAAGUGCCACAGAAAGCAAACCGCCCCGCCUGCUUUUCCGCCGCGAGCAAUGCGACGGAAAAGUUGGCGGGGUAAGGGUGAAAGGGUGGGGUAAGAGCCCACCGCGGGCCUGGCAACAGGAACGGCACGGUAAACCCCACCGGGAGCAAGACCGAAUAGGGAUGACGCGGACGGCGAAAGCCGUCCGGCCUGUUUCCGGGCCAGUCAUCCGGGUGGGUUGCGUGAGGCAGUGCGUAAGCGCUGUCCCAGAUGAAUGGCUGCCACGUUCCGGCGCAAGCCGGAGCCAUACAGAACCCGGCUUACAGGCCAACUGGCGCU
rnacentral:RNase_P_RNA from 1 species